ensembl:snRNA U6 U6 spliceosomal RNA
GUGCUCGUCUUGGCAGCAUAUACACUAAAAUUGGAACGAUAUAGAGAAGAUUAGCAUGGCUCCUGCACAAGGAUGACAUGCAAAUUCAUAAAGCAUUCCACAUUUUU